GACAUAGGUGGCGAACGUUAUCCGGAUUUAUUGGGCGUAAAGGAUGCGUAGAUGGUAGAAUAAGUUAUUGGUCGAGGUUGAGCUCAACUUAACGGAAGCUGGUAAUACUGUUUCACUAGAGGGCAGGAGAGGUUGACGGAACUCUAUGUGUAGGGGUAAAAUCCGAAGAUAUAUAGAAGAACAUCAAAAGGCGAAGGCAGUUAACUAGUCUGUUCCUGACAUUGAGGCACGAAAGCGUGGGGAGCAAAACGG
rnacentral:rRNA from 1 species